rnacentral:piRNA from 1 species
UGGGGAAUGCCUGUGAGCGAUGAUGAC